AUGGAUCUAAAUUUUUGUUCCAUGUCCUACUAUGCACGAGACUCACGGCAUCGUGAAAAUAUGGACAUUGCUAUGUUGAAAUGGAUGUUUGAUAGCUGGCCAGACAGUAAUGAGUAUCAUAUUUCACAGUGUGAUACAAUUUUAUUGCCUUGGGAUAUUUGUGGGAUAUCUCUAUUGUUUGUUUUCGAUCAAAAUAGAAAAGUUGUCUCACUUAUGGAUCUGAUACCAAUACCUAUUUUGGGAAAAAAUUGUACUUAA
rnacentral:rRNA from 1 species